ensembl:snRNA U4 U4 spliceosomal RNA
UUCAAUGUUUACUGGCAGUAUCGUAGCUCAUAAGGUUAAUCCAAGGCACGAUUAUUGCUAGUUGAAAACUUAACUUAACAAUAACAUUCAGCAUCAAAUCUCUUAAAGGGAUCUUGUUAUACCAUGUCUUUUAUUUAGGCAAUUUCUUUUG